rnacentral:rRNA from 1 species
GAUCCUGGCUCAGGACGAACGCUAGCUACAGGCUUAACACAUACAAGUCGAGGGGCAGCAUGGUCUUAGCUUGCUAAGGCCGAUGGCGACCGGCGCACGGGUGAGUAACACGUAUCCAACCUGCCGUCUACUCUUGGACAGCCUUCUGAAAGGAAGGUUAAUACAAGAUGGCAUCAUGAGUCCGCAUGUUCACAUGAUUAAAGGUAUUCCGGUAGACGAUGGGGAUGCGUUCCA